rnacentral:rRNA from 1 species
GUGCUAAGGUAGCAUAAUAAUUUGCCUUCUAAUUAAAGGAUGGUAUGAAUGUGAAAACAAUAAGCACAUUGUCUCUUAUGUUUAAAUAAAAAUUUAUCUGAGGGUGAAAAAGCCCCCAUUCUACAAAAAGACAAAAAGACCCUAGAAGCUUUGAAAUCAAAAUAAUACAAUUUAUAAAUUUUUUUAACUGGGAGGGUAAAGAGUUAUUAACACACUUUUUAACAAAAGACAUUAAGUCAAAAACACUUAACCCUAACAAGAACAUAAGUAAGCUACUCUAGGGGUAACAGGCUAAUACUCCUUAAGAGUACACAUUGACAGGAGUGAUUGGCACCUCGAUGUUGGCUUAGGGAUAUUAUUUUAUGCAGAAGUAAAGAUAAUUGGUUUGUUCAACCUUUAAUCCCCUACGUGAUCUGAG